AAGUGGGGAAGUUUUCCUUAACACCUUGGUACGACUCUGUUGUUUCUCUUUUGCAUUAUUUUAGCGCUGCUAUAGACUUAAGCUACCAAUGGUACAGAAGAGCAUCGGAUUUGGGAAAAGUUCCAGCUCUACAACUUACCCUACUACUUGUGUGACUGAACAAAUUUCACAUAACUUCUCUUGGCCUCAGUUGCUUCCCUCUGUGGACCUCAAAGGACUGUGAGAAAAGUAAAAAUGUAUUCAGUCAGUUCAGCAACAGUUAUUAAAUGAUUAUGUGCCAGGUACAGUGGUAGGGCAGUAACAAAAGAGGUAAAAGGCCCUGUUCUCAAGAAGUUUAAAAUGUAAUUGGGAGAAAGGGGUUAGGAGGAAGAAAACAAGUACUCACUGGUCCCUGCCACCAUCGUGUAGGGAACGAAAUUCUUUAUAGAACAGACUAGAAGUAAUCCCCAAGAAUUACCAGCUGCCACAUAUGUGGCAGACAAGCCAAUCUAGCUGAAGCAGCAAGGCACUACUACCAUAUCGUUUCAGAUUUCACAGGCAAUAGCCCAGGACACUAAACCUAAGAGCCCUGGGAAUAGUAGUGGCCAAACAUUAUCCAUAACUCUCACAGAGUGGAAAAGUCAUAGUAAAGAAGAGUCUCCCUUGCUUUACCAUCACCAACACCAAUUGAUGACUACCUGCCAUCAUCAAGCAGGGAAGCCCUGGAGUUCUAGGAAUGGCAACACUUCCCAGACCCCCAGUCCUGCUUCCAAUACAAUCCCCACAGUCAUAAUCCUGGGAAGUGUGAUUUAUAAAAAGUUGGAGAGACAUAGUUUCUGGAAGCAACCUCUGGAGCUACAACCCAGCAGCUGUUUCUGUGCAUGCUCCUGCCCCUGCUUCCCCUGCAGCCACAGCUACUGAAAAACUAGAAAAAAAGUUCACACCACCAAAGACACCAUAGCAUUGUCAAAUGGUUCACCAUAAGAAAAGGACAUGGUUGUCAAUAGAAAUGGUAUCGAAGAAAAUGCAUUGCCAUCUUCUUUGCCACUGCACCCAAAGAGUCAUGGAGCCUUUCCAUCUGACUAUUAAACUGAAACUUCUUUGUGUUGUCUCCUUUAGACUGUGAGUUGCUUAAGAGAAAAAAUUGUCUUGAUUUUCUGUUUGUAUCCUCAGUGCUUAGCACAGUGUUUUACAAUUAGUAAGUGCUUAAUAAAUGGUUUGUCAGUCA